UGAGGAAUAUUGGGCAAUGCCCGCAAGGGUGACCCAGCAACGCCGCGUGGAGGAUGAAUGUCGUGAGAUUGUAAACUCCUGUUAGAGGGGAAGAAUAGUACCGGUUGGACCGGUAUAUGACUGUACCCUCAGAGAAAGCCCCGGCUAACUACGUGCCAGCAGCCGCGGUAAUACGUAGGGGGCAAGCGUUGUCCGGAUUUAAUAGGUGUAAAGGGCGCGCAGGCGGGAUAAAAAGUCAGUGGUGAAAUCCUACAGCUUAACUGUAGAACUGCCUUUGAUACUUUUAUUCUUGAGUUCGGGAGAGAGAGACGGAAUUCCAGGUGUAGUGGUGAAAUACGUAGAUAUCUGGAAGAACACCAGUUGCGAAGGCGGUCUCUUGGUCCGACACUGACGCUGAGGCGCGAAAGCGUGGGGAGCAAACA
rnacentral:rRNA from 1 species